CAGAAGAGCACCUACGCAGUUAAAGCCAAGAGACACCAGGCAGAGCUAGAGGCAAGCAAGCACCACCACAGGAGCUCGAGGCUUACUUCCUGAGAAGAGAAAAAUGUACAUGAAAGAGGAAGAAAUGAAAAUACUUGGGGAAAAUUUCCCCAAAUCAAAAGACAAGAAGUUUUUAGAUUGAUAUAUCCUCAAAUCCUGAACAAAAGGUGCUCUCAAGCUGGGGAUUUUUAUUCUGCAUGCAAGCCUGUCCUACAACAAGAAUAAGAUGUUACAUUUUAAGAUGGGGCCAAGAAUAUGAGGUAAAAAUUUACUGCUAAUGGUGCUAUGACUUUUGCUGACAACAACAUGUCAAUGAAUGUUACAGAGAAUGUUAUAUGC